AUUGAACGCUGGCGGCAGGCCUAACACAUGCAAGUCGAACGAGUGGCGGACGGGUGAGUAAUGUCUGGGAAACUGCCCGAUGGAGGGGGGUAACUACUGGAAACGGUAGCUAAUACCGCAUACCAUCGGAUGUGCCCAGAUGGGAUUAGCUAGUAGGUGGGGUAACGGCUCACCUAGGCGACGAUCCCUACCUGGUCUGAGAGGCUGACCAGCCACACGGGAACUGAGAGACGGUCCAGGCUCCUACGGGGGGGAUGAGGGGGGAAUAUUGCACAAUUGGCGCAAGCCUGAUGCAGCCAUGCCGCGUGUAUGAAGGAGGCCUUCGGGGUUUAAAGUACUUUCAGCGAGGAGGCGUGACUCGCAGAAGAAGCACCGGCUAACUCCGUGCCAGCAGCCGCGGUAAUAC
rnacentral:rRNA from 1 species